AGUGAACGCUGGCGGUAGGCCUAACACAUGCAAGUCGAACGGCAGCACAGUAAGAGCUUGCUCUUACGGGUGGCGAGUGGCGGACGGGUGAGGAAUACAUCGGAAUCUACUUUUUCGUGGGGGAUAACGUAGGGAAACUUACGCUAAUACCGCAUACGACCUACGGGUGAAAGCAGGGGAUCUUCGGACCUUGCGCGAUUGAAUGAGCCGAUGUCGGAUUAGCUAGUUGGCGGGGUAAAGGCCCACCAAGGCGACGAUCCGUAGCUGGUCUGAGAGGAUGAUCAGCUACACUGGAACUGAGACACGGUCCAGACUCCUACGGGAGGCAGCAGUGGGGAAUAUUGGACAAUGGGCGCAAGCCUGAUCCAGCCAUACCGCGUGGGUGAAGAAGGCCUUCGGGUUGUAAAGCCCUUUUGUUGGGAAAGAAAAGCAGCAGGUUAACACCCCGCUGUUCUGACGGUACCCAAAGAAUAAGCACCGGCUAACUUCGUG
rnacentral:rRNA from 1 species